CUCUCAGCCCACCCUGGUGACCCACCCACAAUCACCCAAUCCCACUGACUCUCAGCCCACCCAGGUGACCCACCCACAUUCACCCAAUCCCACUGACUCUCAGCUCCAGCCCACCCUGGUGACCCACCCACAUUCACCCCAUCUCAUUGACCCUCAGCCCACCCAGGUGACCCACCCACAUUCACCCAAUCCCACUGACUCUCAGCCCACCCAGGUGACCCACCCACAUUCACCCCAUCUCAUUGACCCUCAGCCCACCCAGGUGACCCACCCACAUUCACCCCAAUCCCACUGACUCUCAGCCCACCCUGGUGACCCUCCCACAUUCACCCCAUCUCAUUGACCCUCAGCCCACCCUGGUGACCCUCACACCAUCCACUUGACCUAAUGCAUCCUAACCCCACAGAAGUCCCAAUGUAGAUCUACCUACAUUAACCAAGUGUCUAAGGACACCUUCAUAUAACCAACACAUGUGGUACUCGUGGUAGAAUGUGCUCAGAUAUGAGAUUAUUAGAAAUGUUCAGUACCUACCCUGUUACUGUGAUUCAUAUGGCAUAUAGAUUUUGGAGGUAUGCACAAUUAUAUCGUAUAUCAGGUUGUUGUUGAUGUAUCAUAAUUAAUAUCAUGCAAAUAAAAAUACAUUGUUAUCUA